rnacentral:rRNA from 1 species
AUGAAGCUGGAUUCGCUGUAAUCGCGCAUCAGCCACGGCGCGGUGAAUACGUUCCCGGGCCUUGUACACACCGCCCGUCAAGCCAUGGGAGUCGGGAGUGCCUGAAGUGCGUGAGCGCGAGCAGCGCCCUAGGGCAAAACCGAUGACUGGGGCUAAGUCGUAACAAGGUAAC